rnacentral:lncRNA from 1 species
GGUUACGCAUGCAGAUACUGAUGUGGUGAUUGUGGGUGCUGGCUCUGCUGGCCUCUCUUGUGCUUAUGAGCUUAGCAAGAACCCAUCUGUGAAGGUUGCCAUUGUUGAGCAAUCUGUUAGCCCUGGUGGUGGUGCUUGGCUCGGUGGCCAGCUCUUCUCUGCCAUGGUAAUCAAAAUCCCUUUUUGCAGAGCAGAAUCUAAAUACUUGUUUCUUUAAAACUGAUCUUUCGUAUAUAUGUUUUGUUGGUCAGGUGGUUCGCAAACCUGCUCAACUCUUCCUUGAUGAGCUAGGCAUCGAGUACGAUGAAGCAGACAACUAUGUAGUAAUCAAGCAUGCUGCCCUGUUCACAUCCACAAUUAUGAGCAAACUCCUAGCCCGCCCCAAUGUUAAGCUUUUCAACGCAGUGGCUGCCGAGGACCUGAUAGUGAAGAAUGGAAGAGUGGGUGGCGUGGUCACCAACUGGGCUCUUGUGUCAAUGAACCACGACACACAGUCUUGCAUGGACCCCAAUGUAAUGGAGGCCAAAGUAGUCGUAAGCUCUUGUGGCCAUGAUGGACCCUUUGGUGCCACUGGAGUCAAAAGGCUGAAGAGCAUUGGCAUGAUUGAGAAUGUCCCAGGGAUGAAAGCUCUGGACAUGAACACUGCUGAAGAUGCCAUUGUUAGGCUUACCAGAGAGAUUGUGCCAGGAAUGAUUGUCACGGGCAUGGAAGUUGCAGAGAUUGAUGGCGCUCCAAG